ensembl:lncRNA
AUGGAGGAGCAGCUGCAGCAGAACAAUGUGAGUGAGGUGUGGAGGAGCCUGAAAACCAUCUCAGGCUUCAAAGCUCCACACCCACAGGCUGAGGGGGACCCGAGCUGGGUCAACGAGCUGAACUCAUACUUUAACAGGUUUGACCAAGCACCCACUCACACCUCCCAGCAGCUGCCUCCAAACCUUUUGUCACCUCAUACCACUGGAUUACCAGCCCCCACAGCCCUUCACACCUUUACACAAAGCCCUCUACCCUCAGCCCUGACGACUGGUGACUCAUCCCAACAACACCGCCUCACUUCACACCACACUAAGACACUCCCUCCACCCCUAUCCUUCUCCAGCACCCAGGUGAGAAGUGAGCUCAGGAAGAUCAAGGCCAGGAAAGCAGCUGGACCAGACGGCAUCAGCUCCAGACUCCUAAAGUCCUGCGCAGGCGAACUGUGCAGAGUUAUGGAGCAUGUCUUCAACCUGAGCCUCAAGCUGAGGGUGGUACCACAGCUCUGCAAGACCUCCUGCGUGGUACCAGUGCCCAAGACACCACACGCUAAAGACCCCAGCAGCUUCAGACCAGCAGCUCUGACAUCACACCUGAUGAAGACAUUGGAGAGACUGGUCCUGGGUCACCUCCGCUCUGCAGUGGGAACCUACCUGGACCCGCUGCAGUUCGCCUACCGACACGGCAUAAGAGCAGACGACGCCGUCAUCUUCCUCCUACAUCGAGCUCUUUCUCACCUAGAGAAGCCCGGCAGCACUGUGAGGAUCAUGUUCUUUGACUUCUCCAGUGCCUUCAACACCAUCCAGCCGGUGCCUUGCAUUCUGCAAGGAGGAGGAGAUCCCCACUGCUCCCAGCUGCCUCUCAGCCAAUAUGAGAUCCAGUUUGGGCAGUACCGGGGACAGACCUUCAAGUGGCUCCUGAGUCACGACGUGGGCUACGCUGUGUCCCUGCUGGCCUCACACCAGAAGGAGCGGGAGAGUGGUGACACAUCCAGCUCACCACUUAUGGCCAACAAGGUGCUGUGGAGUACAACACAGAAAUAUCUCACUCAUCCUAGUACAGUAAAAGUAGAGCCAUCAUUAGAACUAUUAUACGGAUCCCAACUCACACAGCUCAAUCAGAGCAAUCAUCAAGAAAUUCCUAUUUCUGUCAUAAUACACAUAUUCUGUUCUCCCGCUACACAGGAUGCCCUCACCUCCUACAGCAAGCUGUUCCCAGAGGUGAUGUCAGCCGUGGAGGGACGCCGUGCCACGGAGGGUUCCAAGUCUGUCCGGAGCCAAGACAAGAAGUUGGUGGAGUUCGGCCCCCACGGAGCCAUGACCUACGCCUCCAUGUACGAGGCCACGGGGAAAGAGGUUGAGACCUACGUGCAGUGGCUGAGGAAGAAGAAGUGCAUCCCAGGCAGCAACCUGCAUGCUUUAAAGACCUACAUACUGGGCCGGGACCAGGAGAAGAACCAGCAUCCCUCCCAGCAGCCCCAGUGCCCACCAUCUGACAGUAGGUGUUUCUUUGUCUUUUCUGUGUGAAACAGCUGCUAACGAGCCCUCAGACGAGAUGCUCCUGGCUGCUGCCUUGGAGGUGGAGAGUCAGCGUGAGUUCACUCACACGCACAAGCACACAUGCAAUGGUUAUAACCCUUUAUCAAAUGUAAAUGAUUCUGUGGUGAACGUGUUUGGACCUGAUAAUAGCUGUUCUUCUGUUAUUCAGAAGCCUUCUAUGGAUUAAUGGUGUAAAACUGUAUGUAAGUUAUAAGGUGACUACGAGGUACGGUUGAUGUUUACUGGACCCUGUAGAGAUCAGCUGUAGGCCUAACAACCUAACCUUGGUAGAUACUCACGCUUCGCUGUCCGUCUGUAUGUCAUCACAUUAUGGUAUGGUGAUUGUUGUUGUCCGUCAGUAGUUUAACUGGGAUAGUAAAGUUUGUUCUGUGCACAGAACACAGACAUCAGACAGAUUCAACGACACGUGCUGUGGAAUCUCUCUCAUGUCUGAGUAUUUGCAUGACUUUGAUUACUUUUAGUUAUUUUUGCAGAGGUCCCAUCUUCAGCCUCCACUCCUGUGCCAGUCGAUGACCUGGACCUGUCUUCCAGUGGUGACAGCGGCGUCGCCGUGCGGCCCAGGACCAGAGCUGCAGCCGCAGCUGAGGGCUGUCCUAAACCCUCGCGACCAAUUAGUGGCUCAGAGGUGAGACCCCCCCCCCUCCCUCUGCAGGGCAGCUCCCCCACUGUGCUUCAAAUUGUUUGGCUUGUGCUCACCUUUUGUCUGUUUCUGUGGUGAAGUUGCUGCCUCACAGCUGGAGGCAGACUCUGCCGGAGGAGCAGCAGGACUGGGUGGGCCGGGCUCUGUUCACCAGGAACGCCAGGGGCCAGCGUGUCCUCACCACCGACCUUCGCCUCUGGUGGUACCCUCCCGGAGCCCGGCCCCUCUACACCCAGACCCCUGCAUCGUCCCACGCCUUCUUCCAGAGGCCGUUCUUCCUGUGGAUGCCCUACAGGAUGUGGGCGUGCAGGCUUGUGUGCCCCAGCUGUGACACAAAGCUGACCGGCGCAGGACUGUACAAGACGGUGCGCAGGGUUCUGGACAGGGACGGCUGGUACUUUAUGGGCACAGAGUACCUGGAAUGUCGUUCCUGUGGGAAGAAGAUGGCCGCCUGGGUCCCGGGCAUCAUCAAUCAGUUGGACCCGGGUCACCGGAAUCAAUUCCCGGCUGUACUCACCUACAAGUAAGUGCUGAGCCUGUGAGACGCCUACAUAUAAACGUAAAGAGGCGUGUCGGGUCAGGAUUUCAACCGUUGACUUGUUGUGCUCCCUUUCAGGCUGUCCUGCCACAAGUCUGUGAUCUCGCAGAUGAGGCAGCGGACUUUGGGCAACAGUGCGACCCGCCUUCGCAAACAGCUGAUGGAGGACCACACAGAGACCUGGAUGUCCUGCACUGCAACGUACCUCGGGGUGCUGAAGAAGCUGGGCGUAGCGGGUGCAGCAGUCAAGCCGGUGACUGUCCCACCCCUGCACCCGGUGCCCACCGUGGGCUGGCUCCUCUCCGUCUUUGUCAGGGACGCCCUGUCUAGGCUGGAGGCGACCAAGGCCAGGGUCACGUCUAUCUUCGGCAACAUUCUGAAGAUGGAAUCUACAAAGAAGGUCCGUUUUGGUCAUCACGGAUCAAUCCAUCUAAUUAGAUAUAAUUAGAUCUAAUUAUAAUUAUAAUCUAUAUAAUUAUGUAAUUAUCAGUGCUGAUUACAUUUUCUUUCUGCCUUUUGUCACACGUCCAGAUGACCUCCAAGCUGGCUGGCAAAGCUGCGGGCACUGCAGCGUGGGUGACAAACGUGGGCAACGAGUACGGACAGGUAUGUGUGUGUGGGGGGGGGCAUCAGCUUCUUUCCCCUCACCGUGUAUGAAAUGCAUCACUGACCUUGUUGUUCUCUGCUCUCCACCUCUACCAGGUGCUCAUGUCCGUCCUCACGGCUGCAGAGGGGGAUGGGCUUCUGCCCAUGGCCGCAGGGCUGAUGCGGCGGUACCGAGAAGCCCAGGUGGCCCCUCCAGCGGUGCUGUACGUGGGCCGUGACUGCUGCUCCCUCACUGGACGGACGGGCACAUCCGCCAUGUUCUCCGAGUGGGACCAGCUGGUGGUGAGGCUGGACGUGUGGCACCUUUGCCAGAGGUGUCACCACUGAGAGCCACCAGCUGUACCCUCAGUUCAUGGCGCGGCUGUCCUACGCCAUCUACAUGUGGGACCAGGACGACCUGGCUCUGCUGGAGAAGGCCAAGCGCGCAGAGGAGGGCAGAGAUUCCUACAUCCGUCUCUCUGCCAAGGAGCUGGCGCGUCACUGCCGCCGCUACACGCGCGGCGCGGCAGAGACGGAGAGGCUGAUCCAGGAGCUCCUGGAUCAGUUCUGGGACCUGCGAAACGAUCUGGGCGUCGUCCUCAUCGAUCAUGAAAGGAUGGAGGCGAUUUGGAGCGUGCAGCGUCGUCACCUGAGCUGCAUCCAGGAUCCCCCGGGAGUGGCGCUCUACACUAAGACGGGGGAGCUGACCAAGGGAGGGAUCCGGCUCCCCGUCUACCGCUGCGCCCGAGGAUCCACUUCACUGGAGUCCUUCCACCUUCACCUGAACGGCUUCAUACCUGGUGAGAAACAAAAGGGGAAACAAACGGCUGUUUAGUUUUUUUCUUGUUACUAGUGUUGUGUUGUUGUGAGAUGUUGAAGUUGAGAUUGUUUUCCAAAUAGUGGAAUUUUUUUGUCUCUCCCUGUCUCCAGGCACGUCAGCCAGUGCCCUGCACUUUCAGGUGUACUUGCUGGAGGGCCUGGUACGAUGGAAUGAAGACCGCGGCAGAGCUUCAGUGGAAGGAGCCCAGAGGCUGGUCCCGCGCUGCUACGAUGCCCUGCUGCAGGAUUACCUAAAGCGGCUGACCCAAGAGUUUAUGGGUAUGACGGUGGUGGAGACAUACACCCAGCCUGGAGAGUACACAGGUAGUGGACUGGAAAUCACAGCAUCACACCCCGAGUGAUGAGUACAUGAGUGAAAACAUGUAAACUCAUGUCGCCUUGUGUUUCUUUCAGGUGAGCUGAUUGGGGUGGAGUACCUGUUUUCCCAGACGGGUGCCGUGCUGGAGGAUUUGGGCCGGGAUCCAGACGCUCCCGACGGCCUGGAUGAGGCUGACGUGGAGGUUGUGGAUAAUGAUGAGGGGGAGGAGGACGAGGGGUUUGGGGAGCUGCAGGACAUGCAGUUUCUGCAUGACCAGCCUGCUGCUGCUGCUGCUGCUGCUGCUGCUGCUUGUUCAGCUGACACCGACCCCGUCUCACGGGAAGAAUCCGCUGUGGAGACGGGAAUGGAUGUCGCAGAGGGUGACGGCCCUGUAGGUGUAACACAUUAGACAUAACCCAGCAUUUGACUGUGUCUUUUUGGUUACGAUGUGGAUAUUUAGAAACAUCAAGGGUAUCUUCUGAGGACAAAUCCCUUGCCUGGCACUCCCCAUGGAGAUCAUCAUCCUCCUCACCCGCCACAAGCACUGCCAACAUUGCUUUUCCAGAGGCUGCCACCACCGCUGCCACCAACGCCGCCGCUUCACUACAAGAACAUGCUGCUUGCUUAAAAAAGGAGGAAGGGCGCCAACAACAGCGCCAAGAGGAGCCCCAAGAAGAGCGCCAAAGCCAAUGCCGAAAUUGUGGACUUCCCAGGACCCUGUCGAAGGGGCAUGCCUUUUACAAAGUGCAUUUCUACUGCACACACACUGCAGGGCCUGGGGCAAAGUCUGCCAAUGAGUGGCUGAAGGAGCAGGAAGAAAAGGAAGCACCAAAAAUUCCCAGGACAACUGCCUUCACCAUGAGGAAAAAGUGGGAGAAUGAGCACAGUUUCAAACCUCCAGAAAACAGAAGGAAGCCGAAUAAACUUAGAAUCUGCCAGCUGUGUGGCCUGCCA